UGUCGGGACGACACACGUUUCUGUCCUGGAUGAAGAAGGACUGGCUGUCUCUGCCACCAGCACCAUAAACCAAGUUUUUGGAGGAGGUGUUUACUCUCCGCGAACAGGCAUCAUCCUGAACAAUGAGCUGUUGGACUUCUGUCGCAGAGCAGAUACAGUGAGGGCAGGUGAACAGCCUCCUUCCUCAAUGACUCAAAGUCUGGAGGACUUUUUGUGAUUGGUGGAUCGGGAGGAAGCUUGAUAACCUCAGCAGUGGCCUUG